UACAGAGGGGGCAAGCGUUGUUCGGAAUUACUGGGCGUAAAGGGCGCGUAGGCGGCCUUCUAAGUCGAACGUGAAAUCCCCGGGCUCAACCCGGGAACUGCGUCCGAUACUGGAAGGCUUGAAUCCGGGAGAGGGAUGCGGAAUUCCAGGUGUAGCGGUGAAAUGCGUAGAUAUCUGGAGGAACACCGGUGGCGAAGGCGGCAUCCUGGACCAUUACUGACGCUGAGGAGCGAAAGCCAGGGGAGCAAACGGG
rnacentral:rRNA from 1 species